rfam:Peptoanaerobacter stomatis strain OBRC8 ctg120007290660, whole genome shotgun sequence.
UAAAAGGCUUCUUUUGAAGUCACAUAACCAUAAAAUUUUAAUAUCUU